rnacentral:rRNA from 1 species
GAAUCUAGCUUCAGGUCUGGGACAACCACUGGAAACGGUGGCUAAUACCGGAUGUGCCGGAAGGUGAAAGGCUUGCUGCCUGAAGAUGAGCUCGCGUCUGAUUAGCUAGUUGGUGGGGUAAAAGCCUACCAAGGCGACGAUCAGUAGCUGGUCUGAGAGGAUGACCAGCCACACUGGGACUGAGACACGGCCCAGACUCCUACGGGAGGCAGCAGUGGGGAAUUUUCCGCAAUGGGCGAAAGCCUGACGGAGCAAUACCGCGUGAGGGAGGAAGGCUCUUGGGUUGUAAACCUCUUUUCUCAGGGAAAAACACAAUGACGGUACCUGAGGAAUCAGCAUCGGCUAACUCCGUGCCAGCAGCCGCGGUAAUACGGAGGAUGCAAGCGUUAUCCGGAAUGAUUGGGCGUAAAGCGUCCGCAGGUGGCUGUGUAAGUCUGCUGUCAAAGAGCGAAGCUCAACUUCGUAAAGGCAGUGGAAACUACACGGCUAGAGUGCGUUCGGGGCAGAGGGAAUUCCUGGUGUAGCGGUGAAAUGCGUAGAGAUCAGGAAGAACACCGGUGGCGAAGGCGCUCUGCUAGGCCGCAACUGACACUGAGGGACGAAAGCUAGGGGAGCGA